ACCAGAGAAUAACGCACCCGUUGGGAGAGAAAACUCACGCCAACCGUUCGACGAAAAUCAUAAGAUCUUCUCGCCCAAAUCCUAAGUUAUAUUAAAAGACACUUGUCUAAUAUAAUUUGAAUAAACACAUUAAUAAAAGAAAUUAUUUUAAUUAUAGAAAGACAUUUAACUAUUUUAAUUAAUUUCAAAGAUAAUAUGAUUUGUCACAUAUUUUCAAUUUAUAGAUAGUUAUUUUUAAAAGAUACUUUUACAAUGUAAAGUUACAAUUCUUUACACUAACUAAUACAUAUAUCACAAAUUCCGGAUGUUACAACAAUUACAUACAUGUAAUAAAAAAAACUCAGGACUUGUGGUCUUGUGGUGAUUAACUUGCGGGAAAAAAAAUCCAAUACGGUGAAGCCACCAGGGUUCGAGUCCCGGCUACUGGAAAAUUAAUAUUUCGGCAUCGCAAGGGACAUGGAACUGACAUGUGGCAACACGUGGCUAAUCUGGAUCAUUUCUGUAGGACCAUGAUACCUCUGUAUAAUUCAAAAAAAAAAUACAUAAUUCUUUUAAUACAAUUUUUAGGAUGAAAACAUAACAUUUCAACUUAAUAAAGAUUAGCCUUUGGAAUUAAUUGAAAUUGCUAUUAUUAAUAAAAAAUUUAAAGCUAAUACUUUUAAAGUUGCAUGUUUUAAAAACAGAGUAAAUGAUUCCAUUAAACAAACUGUUAAAUUGCUUAUUUGUACUGGCUAACAACUGAAAUUAGUCAUAGUUAAAAAAUUGAUAUUUUUAAAAUCGAUUGAAAUUUGCGGGUCAUUAUAUAUCUCAAUGGUUGACUGAUCAUUAAUGCAUAGUAGAAAACGAUGACUCGAAAUUUUAUAAUUUUCAGAUGUUUUCCAAACUUCAAAAUCAGUGAUUAGUAAAAUGUUUCCCUCAGCAAAAUACUCUUCAAAUUGUUGGAUAUAUUUACUAUUAAUAGAACCAAUAAUUGUUUCAUUCUGCAACAUAAUAAAACUAUAAAAUAUCAAUUUUGACUGAAAUUUUUGUAUCGAAACUCGAACAUGAAACAUGUGUUUAUGGAAAGAUAAAUCACAAAUACACGAUUUUGUAAUUAUGAGAAACAAACCUUUUCAUUUAGUAAAAAAAAUUAAGACUAAUUAUUUCUUUGUUUCGUUUUGGAUUUUUUUGCUAUCCAAACACGUAUAACUUUCCUACUAUUUUUUGUUGACAACGUUCAAUUGAAUAUCUUCAAAAAACUUGUAACUAACUAAUUGCACAUAACUUUUUUUCUUUACUUUUUAAUUUGAUUAUUGAAAAUUAUGCUUUGAAAAUGUAUGGAUAUAAGCUAUUUAUAGAUUUUUAAAAUUUUGUUUGAAGAGUCACAUCUUUUCAAUAUAAAAUUUUUUUUUAUUGAAAUAAUACUUAUAUGAAGAGUCACAACUUUUCAAUAUGAAUAGUCACAUUCUUUCAAUAUAAAUAAUUAUUUUUAAAUAAAAAGACACAACUUUUAAUUGUUGAAAAGACACAACCUUUCAACAUAAGUGGAUUUCACAACCUUUUGAAUUAAUUGGGAUUGCUAUUAUUAGUAGAUUAACUUUUUGGUUGGCUUAAUGAUUUAUUUGUUGUUGUUUUUCUUUUCACCAUUUAAAUCUUUACUCUUAUUAAAAAAAAUCUACACUCUUAUAACCACAAACCCCCCCCCCCCCCCCCAAAAUUGAUCCACAUUGAUCAUGACAUUAAUUAUCUAGCUAGUAAUCUGGCUAAGGUAAGAGACAAGUCACUGAUGGUUGCGUAAUGAAAGCCUUGCUGUGAGCAUUUGUACAUGAUCAUAGGAGAAUCUUACCAGUUACAUCGGCCGAUGGCCCGAUGUCAAGUUGAUAUUGUUUAAGAUAAGUCCGGUGCAUCCCACCACUGCGUUAUAGUUAAGAUUUACACCAAUUUCUCCAUGCAAUGUACCCCUUAUGCCUUUGAGGUAUGCUAAAGUAAGUUGUACACUUGUACGCCAUGAUCUUAUAAUAAGUCGGAAUUUAUAUAUAUGAAAAAGGUGAAGUUUGAUUAACAAGUAACUUCAACUAAAACUGUAGAGUACAUACCCAAUUUUGUUAAUAGAGAAAAAAAAAAUUUACAAAAUGAAAAUUUUAGAAUGACUAGGGAAGAGGUUGCAUCAUAUCUCUCUUUUUGUAUGCGAGAUAAUACUAUAUUUUUUACAACAAUCUCUUAUUAUUGGUUCAGCGUGAACACGUUGUACCUCAGAAAAAGUGGAUCGUAAAAGUUUCUGUCGAUGGACGUUGAUGAUCCGGCUUCGGAAACGCCGUCGUAGCAUUUAGCUGCAGAACGUCGUUCGGAGCACAAUAUGGAUAUUUGUCCCCAUGUCAGGGAUUGAAUAUUUCUUCAAAAAAAAAAAACUCUUUAAAGAAUUUCUAAUAGCCACCUAACUCUUCUCUUUUCUCAUUUUUGAACCUUUAUUAUUAAACUGUUUUUUAAUCUUAAAUGAUUUACAUUAUAUGAUACUAGACCCCAAUUAUUUCAAACACAAAUUUAUAGUUAACUACUUGCCCUACAAACUAUAAAUUGAAAAGCACCUCGAGUGUAAUUUAUGUAACAAGCAGGACCAAUUUCUAAAAUCUAUUAAACUUCAGGGCUGAAACAAAACAAAACAAAAAACCAGGCUCCAUAUUUAAUUUCCUUGAACUAAUUAAAUAUUUCAGUAGCGCCACCACCACAUAAUAGCUCUUCCUUUUAAAGAGCUUCGUCUUCCACGGCGGAUCAUAUCCCGAGUUCGUCCUCCUCUCUGACCACCGUUUCAGGUUCUCCUAUCUUGCAGUGAUAACAUGGCGCAGCAUCUGUUGCACGCUACCAUCUACGAAGUUGAUGAACUCCCCGGUGGUGGCGUCACCUGAAGCAGCUGCUGAAGCUGGGCUCGUUAGUGGGAAGGAUAACAAUCUGAGGUGACUAUUAGACGUGCCAAAGACUUCAUCUACAUUGAGAACCAAUACUUCCUUGGUAGUUCCUUUGCUUGGGCUGCUGAUGGUAUUACUCCUGAGGACAUCAAUGCUCUGCAUCUAAUCCCAAAAGAGUUGUCUCUCGAGAUCGUUAGCAAGAUCGAGAAAUGGGAGACGUUUAGGGUUUAUGUUGUGGUUCCAAUGUGGCCAGAAGGUCUCCCGGAGAGUGGAUCAGUGCAAGAUAUAUUGAGUGGCAGAAGAGGACCAUUGGAGAUGAUGUAAUGGGAGGCUAUCAACCACACCACUUGUCUCAUAGACAACCAGCUCGUGGCCAGAUCCAUGGAUUCCGGAUGUCACUGGAACAUGACCUUCCUGGUCACUUGUUACGCUACCCUAUUGGUGUAGCCAGUGAAGGCGACGUCACUGAACUUCUAGGAGUCGAGUUCUUCCCUGACACAAAGGCUCGUAUCCUCAGACGCCAUGCCUCCAAUUCUUACAACCUAACUUAUCUCUCUCUGCUUUGCUGCUGCAAUAACUUUGAAUGAACUGAGUGUCUCUCUACAAUGACGUGCACAAUAGAAGUGCAGCUGAUGAUCUGGGAUCCUGAUGGAGAGUUGAUCGAUCGAUCGUUGGUAAAGUGCCAAGCGAUACUUGCUCGGUUGGAGGAGGCGUCCCACGCUGCAUCUACGAAGCAAGAGGGGUUCGAUUGGAUUCCUGAUACUUGUCGCCGGCCUGAAGAUCGAGGAAUUACUUGGUUUCUUUUCGAUUAAUCGGUGCGCUGAGCUUGAUCCCAUUCUAGUGCAGCUGAAAGUCCUUUUGUCGCUAUUUCGAGAGGUUGAGCCGUUUUAUCAUCGAAGAUCAGCUUGUUUCUUGCCGUCCAUAGUGACCAACAGAUCCACCGGAGCACUGGUGUCCUGAUGCCUGUAGGAAGGAGACAGAUGGCGCUUCGGAAUUGAACGUCCUUGAGCGCUCUUGUUUCGGCUUGUGCUGUUAUAUUUCCUUCUUCUUCUUCACCAUUUGUUACCCUUGUCGUGAGAGUUGUGGUUUGGUUUUCAAGGACUUCAAAAUUGAUUCGUUUGAUUUAUGGAGAUAUAUAUUGAAUUAGCCCUGUAAUUCUUUGACAUGGUAGUGGUAGUGGUUAAUCACUUUUGACUUUUCGUUUUCAGUACAGAACUUCAUUCUUUAACUACAUGUGCUUAUUUUGUAAAGAUAUUGUUUACUGAAUUGAUAUGUUAAAUUUUUUAGAGUUGGAAAAAUACAACACAAUUGAAGAGAGAAUUAUAACUUGACUGAAUAAAACUCUGAAGAACCUUUACUACUAUUUUUAGCAUACUCAAAUAUAUGCUGUUUUGUUUAUUAUUUAGUUGUAAAAUUACUACUACUAAUCAGGUUGACGUAAUGCAAGGAUUGUGAAUAUGUGUAAGUAUAUCUAUAUUAUUUAAUCGUACGUAAUUGACAAAUGACAACAGCAUGAAACUUUUGAUUACGAUAGUCGAUAGCAAACGAAAUAUAAGAGUGCAUGGGAGCAAGUAGUCAAGAAUAUACCUUCUCUCUUUAUUAAAUUCCCUUAUGCUAAUCUUAUUCGUCCACCUUCUAUUUAUAUAUUAAUAUUAUUACGCACCCCUGAGCUUAUGUCAACAUAUACCUAAAAUAGAACCGUUCUCGAAUCAAAAGACUUAUAAAAUUUCAACUUGGCAUUAGCACAUGUUACAGACUUACAGUACACGUUACGUGAUUAAUCUAAUAUGUCUGAUAAUAAAAUAUGAGUACUUCGAUAGAAACAUAUUGCAAAUAACGCCCUGUAUACCUUUUCAAAAAAAAAAACCAUAUAUUACUUAAGCUUCUAAAUAUUUUUAUAGGGUAAUAUCAAACUGUUCUUUCUUACAAAACAUUUAAUAUGGUCAACGUAUGAAUCCAGAUCUACAAAUCAAUUUUAAAACAUUUUCUGAUAGUGUAUAUAUAAUUUUUAAAGUAGACAAAGUAAACUUGUAAAAC